UGAAUAUUUAAAGAGAACAACCCUCCACAUCAAAGUCCACAUGUAUCUGACUAUUUCCAGCUUAGUUAGCAUGACAUCAGUUGUGGAUCUAAUAUGGUAUUCAAUUAAUACAGAAUGAGAGGAUGGGAACAGAAUGAACACCAGAUAGUGUGGUUUAUGGAAAUAGGCUCUUGCCAAGCAAGACUUGUUUAAUUACGAUGAGAUUAAAAAUUUAGAUGGUAAAAGAAGUGAUGAGCUUGGUAUACCUGGUCCGGUAGACUUCUGUAAGGCGUUUAACCUAGUUUACAUGACAUUCUGUAAAAGAAUUAGUGAUACUGUAUCAAGGAAGUUCACAUUUAUUAGAUUAAAAACUGACUGACACAGUUGAAGAUGUAGCUACUGCGGAAUAGCCGUCAGACUUUUUUCUUUUUUUUUAUUCCCCCCCCUAACUGGGGUCUGCAUGGAUUGGGAGUAGGCAGAAGUUAUUCAAUAUUUUUAUCUAGAAGCAGUGCAAACUCAUUGCAGAUAAAGCACAGAGAUGACAGAGGGCUGGUGAAGUGGUAAAUAAUGAGGAAGCUUGGGAACAAUCUAGGUAGCUUGACAAGUCAGCCCACUCAAAAUGAGUUUGUUUUAAUAUCAUCAAAGUAAGGUCAGGCAAGGUUUAUAUCUUUUUUUUUUUUUUUUUUUUUUUUUUUUUUUUAUAACAAUUGCUGUAGCUGGAAAAAAACUAGCUGUUCAGGUGUGUAAGCCCUUCUUAGGCUUAUACAUAUAGGACCAAGGAAUGAAAAGCAAACCUAUAAACCUUCAGAUCAGUGAAUAUAAUUAAAAAAAAACAACCACCACCACAACCCCACCCCUCACCCCAACCCCUCAAACCCAGAAGCAGUAAUUCAAGGCUUGUCAGCAGCCCAGGUACAUUUGAAGCUUUGCCACGGUAAUGAAAUAGAUCCCCGACGGUGGGUGCCUGGAGUAAGGCUGGGAGAGGUCAAAGGGGGCUGCAGGGGGCUAGGAGGGUCCACGAGACCCCCGUGAAGGGCCCUGUAGCAGCCUGUCAUGUGGAAUGCUUGGUGGCAUUUUGCUGAGGGGGUUGGAGAUAACACAGCAAUGGCAAGUUGCCUUGAGGGUUGCUCCCUGCCUCCCAGCCCACUUCUGGGGCCGCUUCCGUGGGCUCCACGGUCCCUCGGGGAGCAGGGUGCCCACCCAGGGCUGGCUGCUCGGCAGGGUGCCAGGCAGGGUGUCAGCUCAGGAGCAAUGCUGCUGGUUCACAAGGGUCAGCUGCUGGGAGAGCUCAGCGAAGAACAGCCCGACCUCUUCUUACCUCCAUCUCCAGACCAGUUGUUAGUGGGGGAGCCAGCAUGUUUUCCACCGAUGCGCAAUGCAGUUCUCUGCUUAAGUUUUCACUGCGGUAGAAAUCCAAGCAGACUUGCUAGAUUUUUGUUCUAGAUAUAUAAUUUACUGGCUGUUUUGAAGCAAAUGUCACUUUCUUUUUAUAUUUAUGAACAGCUGGGGAUCAUGAGGCAGCUGUUUAAGGAACUGUAUUUACUUUUAGAUGUAAACAAAAUAUUAAAGUGCCCUCCAGAAAUCUCUGUGCUCACACAAACAUCUCAUAUUCUAUAUUAUUUAUAUGCGUGAGUGUGUGGGUCGCUGCAGCUCGUUUCUGUCUGAUACAUUAGCUCUCCCUGUGUGACAGGCUCUCUCUAGAUAAAGCAAUCUGCAGGGAGUAGGCACACAAUUGCUGGAGGGCCACUCCAAAGAUGCUGUGAUGGAAAAAAAAUUUCCUUUUUCUUUCAUCUUAGAUGAGGAAGAUGAAAAAAAUGUCCUUAAACAUGAAUUUUCCUUGCUGGUAAAAACUUGGUAGAUUUUCCUCAUGAAAAAAUUAAGGAACAUUAAAAUACAUAUUUUGCACAACUUAGAAGAUUGUGAUGGAAAGAUGCAACACUGCUAAACCAGAUGCUAUCCUCCUUACUCAUGCUGAGCAUCGGCAGACAUGGAAAGACAUGCUUUCUUUAAACCUAUUACAUAUACUUGCUUGCAGUCUUAAAAUUCUCCCCGAGUCACACAGACUUCCCUGCCUACCGGGGAGAUUGCCAUUGACCUGUGUGCUGUUCCCAUUUAUUUUAAAAAUACAGAGAAGAAGAGACUCUCUCCUGGAAGGUUAAUUAGAGUGUUCAAGGUUUCUAGAUUGUGACUCUCAUUUUCACCAAAUUAUUUCAUGUGCAAUUGCCUGAUGACAGUCUUUCUAAGGGCUUUCCUUGGGCUUGUCAAAGGACUGGAUGGGAGACAUACAGAGCAUGUCUUCUGAAUACAGAACGACAAUUUGUCAAUUCUGGUGAAAAUUCUUGCAAACAGGUCUACAGAUGUGUUAGAGGCAGGUGAAGCAAGUGACUGGGUGUGAUGACCUGAUAACUGGUUCCAGAGGGUUUGCUCAUGAAGGGGUGGGGAGCUGCCUAUGAGCUGUAUCUGGGCGCCCUGCGCCUGUCCUGACUCACACCACAAGAAUUCUGGCCUUUCAUCUUGGCAAGAAUGAGUACGACAUUUUACUAGGAGCCAGCUUUCUUAGAAUGUGGGUUUUUUUAAAUCCUUUCAGCUUCCACUGAGGUCAGAAGAAGGCUGUGGGUGGACACUCCUCUGUGACGUUCCAGUGCUUCUGAUCCGGGCCAUUCUGGACCGUGAAGAGGGAUGAGGGUAGCAGGGACUUAAUUUAAUGAGAAGACUAAGCUACUUCUCCUUCAUUGGGGCUGGCUUCUCGGCAGGUGGGCUGGAGGCAGGAGUCACUCAGAGGAGCAAAUGGCAGAUAUGGGAAGGCAGGUGGGAAUUACAGCACGGCAUGGGGAUCAGCAAGGCCCAGGAUGGGGCUUAUGAGAGGCAGAGGGCUUGAGCCUCUUCUGUUUGGAGGCCUUCAUCAUGCUACUAACAGGAGCCUCACCUUCCUCCCACGCCUGCCUUUACAUUAUGGCUGUGUCCACCUCAGUUGGUUUGUGUCUCCGUCUGAGCUCUUCUGAAGUGAUUGACAUGCAUCUAGCAACGAUAUGUGCUCUCCAGCUGCACUAACCUUAUACCCCUGGUGUUCUGAGACAGCCUACGCUUAUAUUGACUGAAACACAUUAUAAAUUUGGGUUAUAUCCAUAUUAUCAGAGGAAAAUUUUUAUGAUUACAUGACAAGAUGCCAAAAAAAACCCCCAAACAAUCUAAGACCUAUGAAAAUCAGCAGUAUGUGCUGAGAAAAAUCAAUAAGUAAUUUGCCCAGAGAAUCCCAAAGAGCAUGCAUGUUUUUUGAGACUUAGAAUAACUUUUGCUUAUUGAUUCUUAAAAUCUUUUGAACAGGUAGAUAUGUAAAUACAGGGAUACUGCUCCUCUGGAGUUCAGUGGGAGGAGGAUCAGGCCCUGAGCUGGCAGCUUUGGGAUUUAGAAAGAUAUGCUCUGCUGCUUAAUGAAACUGUUUAAUUAGAAAACUUUGUCACAGCCUAUAUGUGGCUUGAAGGCAGUUUUAUCAAACAGGCUGAAUAAUUCUUUCCAACCAUUAAAGCUGAUUGGUAUUCUUAGCUUUGAAAGGAGAGAAACACGGAGAGCACUGAUAAUGAGAGCUGGGCAGCAUUCAGGGAGUCUUUGUCUUUUGAGCAGGUACUUGUGGCUUCUUCAGGCAAUUUGCCACCUGACAAACCAAAAUUAAACUGAAAUAUUCAUAACUACAUAUUUUGACUGACUUUUAGUCAAGACUGUGCAAAGCCAGUGUUAAAUCAGAACUAAUUUAACUCAAUAUGACCAUACAUGUAACCAUGCCUACUUUUAACCAGUUUAACUCUAUGUUCAUGUCGGUUUUUUUUAAUUUUCAUUUUAAAAGCUUCUGGUUCUGUCAGACAGUGGAGUACCUACUGCUAAUACAGUCUAUAUUUCUGAGUGUCUUGCCUGAGGAAAACAAAGGAAGCAUAAAUGAAGAACCCAAUUUUUAAGCACAAUUUUAGUGCAAUUUUAAAUGUACAAAAUUGUUUCCUUUUCACCGUAAAUUGCUUGUAAGUAUAAAACUCACAUUCUGCAUAUUCUCCCUUAUUCACACUGCUGGAUAUUAAAGGACAGGAGGGGCUCUCCACAAAUGAGAGUGACAAUGCUAUUAUUACUAGAAUGCCAAAGGAACAAUUUUGUGUUAUUUCUUGAUUGAUUUUUUUUAAAUCUGCAAAUGUAUCCAAAAUAUUGAAAAUUUAUGUGAGAAGAAAGUAAAAAAUUAUGUCAAACAUAUGCUUCUCUGUUCUUAAAAAUGUCAGUGGUUUUGGAUUCCAGUUAUUCAGCUGCUCUUCCUGACUUAGUAUGUUGCCUGAUCUAAUUUUACUACCGGGUACCUCAUAUGAUUGUUCUCCAAAACUCAGGCUCAUUUCCAUCAUGUCACGAGACUCAUAGAGCGUACCUCAGUGUAUAACAAAGAAAGGUGCUGUUCAAGGAACAUCUAGGUCAAAGUCAAAGUGGUAAAGCAGGGGUUUCUGCAUUUGGAUCUACUCAUCGACUUCAGCUGGGAAAUAUUUUGGUUUUGAGUUAAUAUCCAAAUCUACCCCUUCCAUUAAACAUUGAGAUAAAAACUUCUUAGAUAAGCAUUGCACAUGGAUAAGCAUUGAACAGAUUCCUACUGUGGUCAUAAAGGAAGAUUAUUCAGAAGAUUAGGAAGAAUUGUUUCUAAAAGGAUCAAUUUAACCUUAAUGCCAUUCUUGAGGAUUUUAUCAAAUUAGAUCAAUAGAAUCAGGUUUUAAAAAGACAUGUAAGAACCAAGUAUAAAAAAAUGUGGGCAAUAGUUUUAGAAAUGCUCUGUGGCCAUCAGCACAGACUUUGAUCCUGUGGACAUAUUUUGUGAAGCUUACCAGUAUGAUGGUAUUUUUUUUUUUUUGACCUAUCUAAUAAAAAUUUCCUUUGUUACUGCUUACGUCUAUUGCCUCUUAUGCUCUUGCUGCACACAUCUGAGGAGUGCCUGCCUUGGUCUUCUCUAUCAGAUAGCUGAGGUCUUCCCCUCUCGACCUGCUGGCAAUGCUCCUCCUAAUGCAGCCCAAGACACCAUUGGCCUUCUUUGCUGCAAGGGCAUGCUGCUGGUUCAUGUUCAAUUCUGUGUCCACCAGGACCCCCAGGUCCUUCUCUGCCAAGCUGCUUUCCAGCUGGUCAGCCCUCAGCCUGUACCGAGAUUAUUUCACCCCUGGGGCAGGAGUUCGCACUUUCCUUUAUUGCCUUUAUUAAAUUUCAGAAGGUUCGUACCGGCCCAUUUUUCCACCCUGUUGAGGUCUCUGAAUGGUGGCCAGACCUGUCAGCAUAUCUGCAUCUCUCACUGGUUAUGAAUCAUGGGCAAAUGAUGUAAGUGCACUCUACCUCUCAACCAGGUCUUUUAAUAAGCUCAUUGAGCAAUAUUGGCACCAGUAUUGAUCCCUGAGAGACAGAGAUUGAAUUUAUGAGUUGCCCUUCUUAAAGAAAAUCUGUGGAGUUUUUCAGUGACUGCUGCUCCCGACCAGGGGGGCUUUCUUUGGGGACAGCCACAGCCCUUUCAAGACAUCAGUAGCCUCUCUGAUGUAAAUGAUGAGUGAAUUAUGCUGCAACUUUUUAGCAAUGACAAACGAUUUCAGGUUUUUUCACAGCCUAUUAAAGAACACUAACAGCACUCACAGCUUUGGUAUAUUUAAUGCAUUUUUGGUAGUUUUUCUCAGCAUGUCUGCAUCAAGAUUUGAGAAGAGGCUUGCCCUAGCAAUGCUAAGAGACCCAAACUAGAAGACAGCUCAACAGUUUCAGGGUUCCAACUCACACUACCAGGUUAGGGGGACUGGAUACUGUGUCACAAAGUUUUAUUUGCCCCCUGCCCCUCUGUCAUACUAAAAAACUUCUGUAAGUCCUGUCCCUAGGUUACUUAUGGGAUUAUUAGGGGAGAGCGUUUUUUCCUUUAACACCUCACAGUAGUAUAUGGUUUAAGACAGAAUAUAGCAUUUUCUGAAAUCAGCUCAGAGGGCUUCCCCCUACACACAUGUGACUUUUGGAGAUAAAGUUUUGCACUUCGAUAGGGUUCCUCUCUUUUACAAGGCAGCUGAUUUGAGUAGAGGUUUGAAUGAGCUCCUAUUAAUUUAAGGAAAUAGGGUUUUUUUUCAUUUUUUUCAGAGAUACCCUUUUAUAAUGGAAAUCUCAUACUCUUGGGUUUUAGGAAAUAAGCCACAAAGGAACACUUCAGCAUCUGUUUUUCACUGAAACACUUUAAACAGGUAAGAAUAGUUAUUUUGCAUUGGAAAACAGACCCAUUUACAGCAACUACUAUUAAUACUACUAAAAAAUUAUUUAACUGAAAAAUAAGAUGUGAAACACUUUUAGCUAAAACCUUUCAGAUGAGGCACAGUAGGCACUAAACCCCACUUUCUGAUGGAAUAAGUUUGCGUAGAAUAAUUAAAACCUGCGUGGGAAAAUAGUUUUGUUCAAGGUAGGAAGCUUCUCCUGGACCCAGUGUAAAUGCGUUCCAGACAAAGAGUGUGCUGGUUUUGAGGACUUUGACUGAGGAACACAGUACUGUUGGCUGAGGCAUCCCUCCUGCUUUUGGCAGUGCUGUUUCUUCAGCAGAAGAAAAGGUGAUUUAAGAGGACAGAUAAAGCUUCAGUCUGUAGACAUCUCCAGAUACUUGUCUUGGUGCCCUUUGCAAGGUGGUGCUGGCUUCUGGAAGAGGUACCUUCACUCACUUCACAAGCCCCGGGGCUUGCCCGGCACGGUGCAUUUCUGAUAUUGCUGCACCACCUUCUGGAGCUGAUCCCAGAGGCCAAGUCAAGCCAGUGGGCUCAGCGAUCUGGUACGGCUGGGCACGUGUGAACGCUUUGAAACAGAAUGUGGAUCUACUGCCAAGCGAGAGCCCUAUGGUGAGCUGUGCCAUUCUGCCUUUUGCGUGCUUUGCUUAUUUCUCCCUGAUUUCCUCUAUUACCCUUGAUGCAUCAUGACAUACAAAUCUGGUGAGGGAGCAGGUGGGUUUUUACAGCCAGUACCAUUUUCUCUGUGUGCUGGAAAUUGCUGGAUAGGAGUCUAUAUACCUGCUUUUACACCCUUCAGAGACCAGAGUUACUCGUGUCACUGCAUGGAAGCCCUAAUUCAGCAAGGCAUUGAAGAACGUUCUGACUUCAAAGCAUAUGAAUGUAUUAUUUGAAAUCACAUCGUUAUAGUUAAAAUAUGCUUUGCAGAUGCUGAUGAGCAGCUUACUUCUGACAGGUUUUGCAGUUCCAGGGUACUGUGUUGCCUCAUGCUUGCACAGUGUCCAGACAUCUCAGGCCAGUGCAGAGGGGCCGGUCAAACUACAGGCAUUUCUCAGUGCUGGUUUUAGCUACUCUGUAUCAGUCCUCUCAGGACUCCAUGUGACUUUACUUUUCAUAAAUCACUAGUUAUGAGUGCUAAAACUGCCCAGACUCAACAGUGAAAGCAGCCUGCAAAGGUAACAGCAACAAGGCAGAGUAGCUGGCUGACUGUUUUUCAGACUGCAAACCUCUACCAAAAAAUCUCUGCAGUCUGUCUCCUCCUCUCAGUGAAAAGAUUUUGUCAUUUUUCUGGGGCUUUGUUAGAAUCCAUCUACAAUUGUUGUAAUUUCCCUAACCAGUUAUGGACAAUGGGCUAAAAUACCUUACAAGGAUGAGGCAAAUGGAAAUUUCUCUUGCUGUCCAGCUCAGGGUGCUGUAAAUGAAAAUAUCCAUAGUAUUUACAUCUCUUACGUUAAAAUUGCUGUCAUAAGUCUCCCAGUGCCUUAGUAACAUCACCAAAUAAUAAUUAUUUUUUUUUUCCACAGGACUGGACAUUUUCAUCCCGUUGUGUUAUUUCUUUGUAUUAUUUAUAUUUUAGUUUGUGCUAUUAGACCAGUCUGGCAUUUUCCUAAGUAAGAAACCGUCUGCUGAUUUGCGCAACACCUGUCACUAUUUUAAAGCAGGCCGACAGCUUUAAUAAAACCUUUUUGCAGGGAAAGAAAGAACCAUAUUUCACGGGGUCUGGUGGGAAAGCAGGCAUCUCCACUCCCCAUCGCAUCCCGCCUGCCACUGCUGAGCAUGUGGCAGUGCUGAAUCAAUAAUUGCCGCUCUCACCACCUCCGAACUGUCUCUCAGCAGCUGGGAAUUUAAACAAGUAACUCCCCAAACAGUACAUCCUCUUCUCCAGUCUUUGCAUGCUUGUUAGCUUUCUUCUUCCCCUUAUGUUUUAUUUGGAAUGCAGUUCAUUACCAUAAAUGCUUUGCCACAUUAAAUUUUUUUUGGCAGCUGCAUAAUAGAUGGAUGGCUUCUCUCACUACAGGGCAUGAGGACCUUAAAUUAUGAAUACAUUUACUUUCAGGUGUGGGGAUUUGGGUUUUGGUUUUUUUUGUGAUGAGGGGGCUCUUUUAUAUGGGAAAAUGAUGCUCCCAGGUCUGAGUUCUUCAGGGAGCACAGUGGGAACUUAAUGAAGUUGGUUGUGAUUAAGGAGAACAUGGACACCUGCAACGGAAAUAUGUGAUGUGCUUCAGCACCACGGAAACGAUCAGCUGGAGGAAGGAGACUGUGCCUUUUCCUGACCUGUCCAUGUAAGGAGGCAACAGAAGAGACUCAGGAGCAAAUGCAAAGCCAGGCUUGAGAAAAGAAGGAACAAAUGACUUUUCCUGGGAGCUCAGAGGGAUGGUGCAGGGUAGGUGUGACCCAGCUUUGUAGGAACCUGAGUCACAGUGCUGAUGGCAACCCUGAUGGGAAGGUCUCACCCUGUAGUAUCACAGGGGAGAAACGGGAGAGGGGCAGUUUUCUACCAAACCUUUUAGUUGCUUUCUAUCCCAUUCAAAUUGUUUUUAUUUUAAGGCAGAUUAACUGUGUUAAUUUUUAGUCUAAUAUGACUUUUAAGGUUGAAAGACCUCUUUCUGGUUCUGAGUAGAAUUACAGAAGGGCGACAGCAGUUCAGAGCUUAGACAGGACUCAGCAUCUUGUCAUGCCUGUGAACCGAAAGUAGCAGCAUGAAGACAUUUUUGGUUAUGUCCAUUUUCCAUUUACUCUUUUUGCAGGCUAGAAGGUGCAGUGAUGUCUAAAAACUAAACACAAGGCAAAGGAUAGAUUCAAUUAUUUGGUGAAGAUGGGGAGAUGUCCCUCAGUUAUCCUGUGGCACAUCACACACCCCCUCUUAGGGAGCCCAAGAAGAGGACUGACAGCUUCAGCCAGAAAAAAAGGAUACUUCUACCAUUACCUUGAGAUCCCAGCCACAAGGUGAGACGACUAAACUGGGAACCUGGCCCAAACCGUGCAGCUAGAGGAAGUAUCACAUCUACAACACCAAGUUUUCCCUAAAAGUCCAAUUGUUUACCAGAGUUUGCUGUGGUCUUCCUGUGUAUCGGUGGGGAUGAGGAACCCAGACAGAUCAGCAUGAAAAAGCAGACCCGCAGCCUCCUAUUUAUAGUGAUUUUCAGGAGACAGAUGCUGCUGGCGGGUUUCUGUGUUUUCCUGGCACUGACUGCACUCCAUUGCUGCUCCAGUGAGGAGGCAUCCAGUGAGAAGAGAAAGACCAACAUCCUUGCAUUGAUCUCUCUUCUAUCAGAUGGAUGAAGAUGGGCUUUAAAUAUGUUUUUAAUUACAAUUUUUUAAUGUUCUUUAAUUGAAAGCAUAGAUUUGCUACAGCCUACUUCAUAAAAAAUGCAAUCUAAUUUGGAGUAAUGCUCUUUGUUCAACAGGCACUACUACAUAGAAGAAUACCGCUGUUGAAGGUUGGGGUUCAGAGACUUUGUCAAAGAAGCAUGUUGAAAAUCAGCAACUACCAUUACUAUACUCAGGCCUCAUCAGUGCAACUUGGACCUAGCCUGAAGCCUGAUGAAGAUGUUGGUAUGCUUUGAGUCAAGCCUUUAGUAAACCGGCACUUACGCAUUCUCCAUCCCUUAUGUGCCUCCUGCCAUCCCAGUGUGACAGUACCCAGUCUGUGCCAUAUACUGGGGACUUAGCUGUUACUAGGCUCUCUACACCCUCCUUGACUGUGUUUGCAGCAGCACAAUAGAGCAAAGCAGAAGAGGGACUCGAUGAUACGUGGUUUCAAAAAAACAUCUAUUUUUCACUCUUUGCUACAACGAUACCCUCUUUUGGGUUCACAGAGAGGGUUUUUGGAGGUGGGG